GAGUUUGAUCUUGGCUCAGAUUGAACGCUGGCGGCAUGCCUUACACAUGCAAGUCGAACGGCAGCACGGGAGCUUGCUCCUGGUGGCGAGUGGCGAACGGGUGAGUAAUGCAUCGGAACGUAUCCUGGAGUGGGGGAUAACGUAGCGAAAGUUACGCUAAUACCGCAUAUUCUGUGAGCAGGAAAGCGGGGGACCUUCGGGCCUCGCGCUCUUGGAGCGGCCGAUGUCGGAUUAGCUAGUUGGUGAGGUAAAGGCUCACCAAGGCGACGAUCCGUAGCAGGUCUGAGAGGAUGAUCUGCCACACUGGAACUGAGACACGGUCCAGACUCCUACGGGAGGCAGCAGUGGGAUUUUGGACAAUGGGGGCAACCCUGAUCCAGCCAUGCCGCGUGAGUGAAGAAGG
rnacentral:rRNA from 1 species